rnacentral:rRNA from 1 species
AGUGAACGCUGGCGGUAGGCCUAACACAUGCAAGUCGAACGGCAGCACAGUAAGAGCUUGCUCUUACGGGUGGCGAGUGGCGGACUGGUGAGGAAUACAUCGGAAUCUACUUUUUCGUGGGGGAUAACGUAGGGAAACUUACGCUAAUACCGCAUACGACCUACGGGUGAAAGCAGGGGAUCUUCGGACCUUGCGCGAUUGAAUGAGCCGAUGUCGGAUUAGCUAGUUGGCGGGGUAAAGGCCCACCAAGGCGACGAUCCGUAGCUGGUCUGAGAGGAUGAUCAGCCACACUGGAACUGAGACACGGUCCAGACUCCUACGGGAGGCAGCAGUGGGGAAUAUUGGACAAUGGGCGCAAGCCUGAUCCAGCCAUACCGCGUGGGUGAAGAAGGCCUUCGGGUUGUAAAGCCCUUUUGUUGGGAAAGAAAAGCAGCAGGUUAAUACCCCGCUGUUCUGACGGUACCCAAAGAAUAAGCACCGGCCAACUUCGUG